GCUCACGGCCAUAUCAGCCUGGGUACGCCCGAUCUCGUCUGAUCUCGGAAGCUAAGCAGGGUCGGGCCUGGUUAGUACUUUGAUGGGACACUGCCUGGGAAUACCAGGUGCUGUAAGCA
rnacentral:rRNA from 1 species